CGAGCGAACAGAUGAAGUGCUUGCACUUCUGACGUUAGCGGCGAACGGGUGAGUAACACGUAAGGAAUCUACCUAUAAGCGGGGGAUAACAUUCGGAAACGGGUGCUAAUACCGCAUAAUAUCUUCUUCCGCAUGGAAGAAGAUUGAAAGACGGCUCUGCUGUCACUUAUAGAUGACCUUGCGGUGCAUUAGUUAGUUGGUGGGGUAACGGCCUACCAAGACGAUGAUGCAUAGCCGACCUGAGAGGGUGAUCGGCCACAUUGGGACUGAGACACGGCCCAAACUCCUACGGGAGGCAGCAGUAGGGAAUCUUCCGCAAUGGGCGAAAGCCUGACGGAGCAAUGCCGCGUGAGUGAAGAAGGCCUUCGGGUCGUAAAACUCUGUUAUAAGAGAAGAACAAAUUGUAGAGUAACUGCUACAGUCUUGACGGUAUCUUAUCAGAAAGCCACGGCUAACUACGUGCCAGCAGCCGCGGUAAUACGUAGGUGGCAAGCGUUGUCCGGAUUUAUUGGGCGUAAAGGGAGCGCAGGUGGUUUCUUAAGUCUGAUGUGAAAGCCCACGGCUUAACCGUGGAGGGUCAUUGGAAACUGGGAAACUUGAGUACAGAAGAGGAAUGUGGAACUCCAUGUGUAGCGGUGGAAUGCGUAGAUAUAUGGAAGAACACCAGUGGCGAAGGCGACAUUCUGGUCUGUUACUGACACUGAGGCUCGAAAGCGUGGGGAGCAAACAGGAUUAGAUACCCUGGUAGUCCACGCCGUAAACGAUGAGUGCUAGGUGUUGGAGGGUUUCCGCCCUUCAGUGCCGCAGUUAACGCAUUAAGCACUCCGCCUGGGGAGUACGACCGCAAGGUUGAAACUCAAAGGAAUUGACGGGGACCCGCCAAGCGGUGGAACAUGUGGUUUAAUUCGAAGCACGCGAGAACCUUACCAGUCUUGACUCCUUUGACACCCUAGAGAUAGGCUU
rnacentral:rRNA from 1 species